rnacentral:rRNA from 1 species
AUUGAACGCUGGCGGCAGGCCUAACACAUGCAAGUCGAGCGAGAGGCGGACGGGUGGGUAAUGUAUGGGGAUCUGCCUGAUGGAGGGGGCUAACUACUGGAAACGGUAGCUAAUACCGCAUACCAUCAGAUGAACCCAUGUGGGAUUAGCUUGUAGGUAAGGUAACGGCUUACCUGGGCGACGAUCCCUAGCUGGUCUGAGAGGAUGAUCAGCCACACUGGAACUGAGACACGGCCCAGACUCCGACGGGAGGCAGCAGUGGGGAAUCUGGCACAAUGGGCGCAAGCCUGAUGCAGCCAUGCCGCGUGUAUGAAGAAGGCCUUCGGGUUGUAAAGUACUUUCAGUCGGGAGGCGUUACCUACAGAAGAAGCACCGGCUAACUCCGUGCCAGCAGCCGCGGUAAUUC